rnacentral:rRNA from 1 species
CACGGAAGCCCCGAGCGUUGUUCGGAUUUAUUGGGCGUAAAGGGUGCGUAGGCGGCGCGUUAAGUCUGGUGUGAAAGGCGGGGGCUCAACCCCUGGAUUGCAUUGGAUACUGGCGCGCUUGAGGACUGGAGAGGAAACUGGAAUUCACGGUGUAGCAGUGAAAUGCGUAGAUAUCGUGAGGAAGACCAGCGGCGAAGGCGAGUUUCUGGACAGUAUCUGACGCUGAGGCACGAAGGCUAGGGGAGCGAACAGG